rnacentral:rRNA from 1 species
ACAUACGACCAUACCCACUGGAGAACUCGGGAUCCCGUCCGCUCUCCCAUAGAUAAGCCAGUGAGGGCCGGAUUAGUAGUUGGGUCGGUGACGACCAGCGAAUACCNCGGUGUUGUAUGUU